UUGUCUGUAAAUGAUGACAAUCUUUCCCCGGCUUAUCGACAAAUGAGGAUACAACUGUGUUUAUUCAAGCCAGUUUGUCUGAUACAGACAA